rnacentral:rRNA from 1 species
UACGAAGGGUGCAAGCGUUACUCGGAAUUACUGGGCGUAAAGCGUGCGUAGGCGGUUUGUUAAGUCCGUUGUGAAAGCCCUGGGCUCAACCUGGGAACUGCGUUUGAAGCUACAAGGCUAGAGUGUAGCAGAGGGGGGUGGAAUUCCACGUGUAGCAGUGAAAUGCGUAGAGAUGUGGAGGAACACCGAUGGCGAAGGCGGUUCUCUGGGCAUUACCGUGACGCUGGAGGA